UGGGCCUUAGAAUAAAUUUGUUGACGGCC
rnacentral:piRNA from 1 species